CCUANGGGCGGCAGCAGUGAGGAAUUUUGCGCAAUGGGGGAAACCCUGACGCAGCAACGCCGCGUGAGUGAUGAAGGCCUUCGGGUUGUAAAGCUCUGUCGAGUGGGAAGAAUUUUUUUCGGCUGAAUAAUCCGAAAAAUUGACGGUACCGCUGAAGGAAGCACCGGCUAACUCCGUGCCAGCAGCCGCGGUAAUACGGAGGGUGCAAGCGUUAUUCGGAUUUAUUGGGCGUAAAGGGCGUGUAGGCGGUUUGAAUAGUCAGGUGUGAAAGCCCUUGGCUUAACCAAGGAAGUGCACUUGAAACUUUCAGACUUGAGUACGGGAGGGGGAAGUGGAAUUCCUGGUGUAGAGGUGAAAUUCGCAGAUAUCAGGAGGAAUACCGGUGGCGAAGGCGACUUCCUGGACCGAUACUGACGCUGAGACGCGAAAGCGUGGGGAGCAAACAGGAUUAGAUACCCGANUANUC
rnacentral:rRNA from 1 species